CGAAGACAACGCGAAGAACCUUACCAGGUCUUAGACAUCCCGAUGCUAUUUCUAGAGAUAGAAAGUUACUUCGGUACAUCGGUGACAGGUGGUGCAUGGUUGUCGUCAGCUCGUGUCGUGAGAUGUUGGGUUAAGUCCCGCAACGAGCGCAACCCCUAUUGUUAGUUGCCAUCAUUCAGUUGGGCACUCUAGCGAGACUGCCGGUAAUAAACCGGAGGAAGUGGGAUGACGUCAAAUCAUCAUGCCCCUUAUGACCUGGGCUACACACGUGCUACAAUGGUUGGUACAACGAGUUGCGAGUCGGUGACGGGCGAGCUAAUCUCUUAAAGCCAAUCUCAGUUCGGAUUGUAGGCUGCAACUCGCCUACAUGAAGUCGGAAUCGCUAGUAAUCGCGGAUCAGCACGCCGCGGUGAAUACGUUCCCGGGCCUU
rnacentral:rRNA from 1 species